UACAGAGGAUGCAAGCGUUGUUCGGAAUUAUUGGGCGUAAAGAGCUCGUAGGCGGCUCAGUAAGUCGGGUGUGAAACCUCCAGGCUCAACCUGGAGACGCCACCCGAUACUGCUGUGGCUUGAGUCCGGUAGGGGAGCGUGGAAUUCCUGGUGUAGCGGUGAAAUGCGCAGAUAUCAGGAAGAACACCCGUGGCGAAGGCGGCUCUCUGGGACGGUACUGACGCUGAGACGCGAAAGCGUGGGGAGCGAACAGG
rnacentral:rRNA from 1 species